AUGCCACAAAUUUGCCUGAACAAAUUGAACAAAGAACAAAAUCUGCCAGGGGGACUUUUUUGCCCUCAUGCCAAAUUCCCGAUUAUGCAGAUGCCAAGCAAUGUGUCACAAUUACUGUUGUGCUUGUUUUAUUUGUACUUGUUAAAUUUACUUCUCCACAUUUUUGCAGCCAAAUUCUAGUCAGUUUAUGAAAGCUGUUUUCCGGGAUGGGAUUGAAAAACAAAAACAAAGGUAACUAUAACUUUGUCUUACAGUUUAAGAAAAAAAAGUCAGAAUUGUGAGAUAUUAAGAGUGUAUACAUCUUGAAAUUCUGACUUUUUUUUUCCACAAAAUAAAAAGGGGAAUUGCGCCUUUUAUCUAACAAUUCUCACCUUUUUCUUGCCAUUGCGAGUUCAUUUCUCACAAUCCAACUUUUUUUCUCACAAAAAAGUCGGAGUUGUGAGAUAUAAAAUUAGAAUUGCAAGGAAAAAAGUUCUUCUUCCAAUUGUUAUUGUUUUUUUACUAUAUAAAUGAGUCACUGAAUGACUCCCUCACCCUUUCAAAUUAUUUCAAAAUGUUAAUCAUUUAGGAGCAAAACCCUGCUGGCGUGUGUUGAUAGUGGAUCUACAAAAUAGACAACUGUGAAGUAAUUGGCGAUGUUAAUGUCUACAAUACUCAGAAUUAUCUUGUGACAGUUGAACAAAGUUGAUUUUGCUUGUGUGAUAAAUACGGCCUACUAAAGCAAAUGUAGGUCAAAUUUUUACCUCCAAAAAUCAGUUUGAAAAUCAUUAUGAUGGUACAUUGACUUAUAAUAUGGUGAGAAUAAUCCAAAACAUGGUUAUGUGCCAUUCAAUGUCUCAAUCAGCUCCACCCCUUUAGACAGGUUAAUGCACCAUUUGUUCAUGCACCUACAUAAAUGUGAACACAUCAGGCUUCAGUAUCAGAUUAAAUCAGUAUCAGUAUAUCCAUAAGCGUACAACGCAAAGCUCAUUCCCUUCUCUCAGGGAACUGAGAUUACGAAAGUAACCAGAGCAUUUUUCUCAAUCAUAAACAGAGCAACAAAACAGUUUUAAACUGUCACUAAUACACCUCAUCAAUAACGGAUUAACAGUGUAAUGUUUUAAUGUAUGUUUUUCUCAGGAAACAGAAAAGAUGCCAUAAAUAUUAGAAAAAUGCUUUAUUGCAUAAACUCUAUGCAUUUGUCCUGUACAUAUUUGAAUAUGUAUAUUAAAAUCCUCUAUGGGCAGCUUGCAGCAAGCUGGUCUCAAAUACAUAGCUAAAUAUUCUGCAUGCAGAGUGUACAGAUCUAUCAUUAAGUGAAUAACUGUAAAUAUGGUUAUUUACAUUUUUUACAGUUCAUUUUAAAGUACUGCACCACCAUAUGACCCUUGUUUUCUAAACCCUAAAGUUUAGAAAUACAAUCCACUUUAAAUACAGAACCAUGUUCAGUUUGAUUUCAUGCGCUAUUUUGUUCACAACAUUAUUGUCCCAAUGAAUAAAAAGGGCAUUUUUUGGCAAUAUUGUCCCUUAAAUAAACUGAAGUAAUUGACUGUGUAUGUAUCAUUAACAUUGUUCGGUACAACAUUCUGCAAUUUCUAAAAUCCCACCCAACCUACCAACCCCAAAACAUAUUGUUUAACUCUUCACAUUCACCACAUAAUUGUGGAGAUCAAAAUAAUCUAAACACGAAGUCUAUAUCAUUUUAUCAACCCAUCCAGAUCUUUAGCUGAAUGCUACAAGCUAAUGUUACAUUCUGGAUCAGAAAGGACAGCACGAGGACAAACACAUUGAAUGAAUAAAUUACUCCAACCACCAGGUGUCGCCAUCGUCCCAGAAUCAACUAUAAUCCUCUCGCUCCAACCUCACAUGGAUCAACAUUUGACUGAGGAAAAGGGGUUGGACUAGCAACAUUAUACCUUUAUAAUUUUAAUGUAUACACCUUUAUUCUCUUCAGUACAUCUGUGCAGACAAAUAUGGCUUUAGUCAGGGGUCUUGGGGGAGAACGGAGAGCUCGCAGACAUGUAUUGAUUUCAUCAACCCCCUCAGUAUCUCAGACACGAUCUGUGAAGAAUGUACCAUUUUAAACUAUCAUGCACGAAACAGAAACACAUGUAAAGCUCUAUUUACAGAGUUCUGCUCAUUCACAUGCAUAAUAAAGUAGAAGCAGACCUCAGGAAACAUGGUGGAGGACAUAUACCAGUGUGUUUUCUACAGGUGUCCAGAGGAGACAUGAAUGAAACAGAGAACAGCUGAAUGAGGCACAGAGUUUUAACCAUCGCACCUAUGAGAAAGAUACAAUCAUCUUCCAGUAUCAUUCGUUUUCUUGUUACAAUCCCAGUAUUGAAGAUGUGAAGCAUCGUCUUAACAUACAUCUAUUGAAACACAAAGUGCAGUGCUACCGUGGCUUUAAUGCAGACAGAGAAAUGAACAUGCACCAUACAACUAACCAUAACAGGAUUCUGGCUAAAGUGAAGGACAUCUUUAACGCAGCUCAAAAAAUAAGUUUGGCAAAACAAAAAGAAAGUUUGUGCGUAUGGUUUAUGGGAGUAAAGCAGUGCAAAACAACCUGAACUCAUCCACUAACAUCUGAGAGCCAUCAUAAACCUUUCAGAAAUGUUGAAAAUGUGUGUC
ensembl:lncRNA